GACGAACCGUGCGAACGUUAUUCGGAAUCAUUGGGCUUAAAGGGCGCGUAGGCGGCGGCGUAAGUUGGAAGUGAAAUCCCAUCGGCUCAACCGUGGAAUCGGCUCCCAGUACUGCGUCGCGUCGAGGGGAUAGGGGUCUGCGGAACUACCGGUGGAGCGGUGAAAUGUGUUGAUAUCGGUGGGAACGCCAGUGGCGAAAGCGGCAGACUUGACCCUCCUGACGCUGAGGCGCGAAAGCUAGGGGAGCAAACGGG
rnacentral:rRNA from 1 species